rnacentral:rRNA from 1 species
UUUAUGCCGUAUGGCAUAAGAGUGAAAGGCGCUUUCGGGUGUCGCUGAUGGAUGGACCCGCGGUGCAUUAGCUAGUUGGUGAGGUAACGGCUCACCAAGGCCACGAUGCAUAGCCGACCUGAGAGGGUGAUCGGCCACACUGGGACUGAGACACGGCCCAGACUCCUACGGGAGGCAGCAGUAGGGAAUCUUCGGCAAUGGACGAAAGUCUGACCGAGCAACGCCGCGUGAGUGAAGAAGGUUUUCGGAUCGUAAAACUCUGUUGUUAGAGAAGAACAAGGACGUUAGUAACUGAACGUCCCCUGACGGUAUCUAACCAGAAAGCCACGGCUAACUACGUGCCAGCAGCCGCGGUAAUACGUAGGUGGCAAGCGUUGUCCGGAUUUAUUGGGCGUAAAGCGAGCGCAGGCGGUUUCUUAAGUCUGAUGUGAAAGCCCCCGGCUCAACCGGGGAGGGUCAUUGGAAACUGGGAGACUUGAGUGCAGAAGAGGAGAGUGGAAUUCCAUGUGUAGCGGUGAAAUGCGUAGAUAUAUGGAGGAGCACCAUUGGCGAACGCGGCUCUCUGGUCUGUAACUGACGCUGAGGCUCGAAAACGUGGGGAGCAAACAUUAUUAGAUACCCUGGUAGUCCACGCCGUAAACGAUGAGUGCUAAGUGUUGGAGGGUUUCCGCCCUUCAGUGCUGCAGCAAACGCAUUAAGCACUCCGCCUGGGGAGUACGACCGCAAGGUUGAAACUCAAAGGAAUUGACGGGGGCCCGCACAAGCGGUGGAGCAUGUGGUUUAAUUCGAAGCAACGCGAAGAACCUUACCAGGUCUUGACAUCCUUUGACCACUCUAGAGAUAGAGCUUUCCCUUCGGGGACAAAGUGACAGGUGGUGCAUGGUUGUCGUCAGCUCGUGUCGUGAGAUGUUGGGUUAAGUCCCGCAACGAGCGCAACCCUUAUUGUUAGUUGCCAUCAUUUAGUUGGGCACUCUAGCGAGACUGCCGGUGACAAACCGGAGGAAGGUGGGGAUGACGUCAAAUCAUCAUGCCCCUUAUGACCUGGGCUACACACGUGCUACAAUGGGAAGUACAACGAGUCGAUAGACCGCGAGGUCAAGCAAAUAUCUUAAAGCUUUACUCAGUUCGGAU